CUGUCAGCGCAAGCACAAGGUGACUCAGGGAAAGACUGCAUUUUGUUUCCUGAUAAAUACUUACCAGUUUUAGUACAUUCAUGUGUGUUGGAUAUUGUUGGCAAGAAAGGAUAAAACUCCUUCAUUAGAAUGAAGAAUGAACUUUAAACAACUCUCUGCAAAAAAUCAUCAAAUCACAUGUUGGAGUGCUAACCUUCAAUAUCUCAGGAUGUGACUAUUUGGAGAUAACUCUGUAAAGAGGACUUAGAUCUCAGUGUCUUGAUAAUUAAUGAGGAGCACGAUAUGAGGCUUUUACAGUCACCAUCUCUUCUGGACACCGAGGAGGGGAGAACAGUAACAUUCCUACAUGAUCCCUGACACUACCUGCAUUCUCAAAGAGCUGCCGGCUCAUCCUUCCUGGCUUUUGGAUGAACUCUUGUUUUUUCUUUCUUUUUUUUUUUUUUUUCAUUUUGCUACAGUUUCAUGGCUAGAAUUCAAAUUAGGCCUCUAAGUCUCCAAUUCUGUCAUUGAAGCAAAGCUGAAAAACUGAAAAUAAUUUUUUCAUUGUGAUCUGCACACCAGCUCCUUAUCCAGAUGGGCAGGCGCCCCCGAGAAGCGGAAGCACCUCUCAGUGCUCUGGGGUCAUGCUGUCAGCUUUGAUGCUGACCAGCAAGGGACACUUAGCUACUGUUUGAGCAGUGUUCUGAGAGGCGGAAGGAAGCUACAUAACCUGAUUAAGUAUCGAGAUAUCAUUUUAAAGGGAUGCUCUGUUCAAUCCACAAUCCUGUUCCUUUCUAGGAACAUGCCAACUAUUGGUUAAUCAAUAUUCUGUGUACCAUCCUCCAAAUCUUCAAUUUUCAGUACUAUUUUUGACAUUGGAGCUACAAUAGGAGACUUGUCAUUCUGCUGAAUAUUUUGAAAUUAGACAUUCAGAUGUCUAAAAAAGCAACUCAGAGAUGGAUCAAAAUUACAGACUAUCAGGGGAAUUACUUCCAUAUAGUCUAUAGUGCAUUUUAUUUUUAAUUUUUGAAAUUUGAUUUCUUUGUUAUUGAAUAUUGAACUAAAUAUGGUGGGACUUUAUAGCAAGUAUGUUUUCUAUCCUAAGGUUAUUAGUCACAAAUUAAUCUGCCACAAUAAUUCAUCAGUAUGUCCUUUUUCCUGUGAAUGUCAGAUCAUUUUUCAACGGCUCUUUGAAAAUGAUUUCUGUCCUCAUUUUACAGAUGGUGAUACUAAGGCAGAAAAUGGUAAGGUAAUUUACUCACAGUUUCUCAGAAAUCUAUACUCUGUCAACUUCCAAUUACAAAUCAUAGUGCACGCUGGGGCAUAUGUUGGGCUUCCUUUUGAUUAAUAGGGAGGAGGCCAGGCUUGAUGACCCCUGCAGGAGGCUUCUAGCCCUACAGUACCAGGAUCUUAAUUCUGAUGAAUGGUCCUCAUGGUAACUAGAACCAAUCUAUUCCCCUACACUUUUCUUCAAGAUUUAAGACAAAGCACAUACUCAUACAAAAUGAUAUUUUUCCUCUGUGCUAAUUUGGAGGGAUGGAAAACUAUUUCUGCUAAGUAUUAUUAUAUUCUGAUUUAUUUGUGACUGUAAGUUGGUAGAAGGACCUAUUUCAUUUACACGUUUGUUUGGAAACCCUACAGAGAUUUUGGAGUGGGGGAGGGACGUAGUGCGAAGCACGGUUCCAGUUCAGAGAGUGACACGUUUGUACUGGACAAAAUAGCACGUGUUCUUCUAAGCUUGCUAUGUGGGCCCCAGCGGACGGCACUCCCAAAAGAAGUUUCAGAUUUUUACCAACAUUAAUUAAACAAGUUGCACAUUUCCCAGUAGAGUCUGUGAAUAAGGUGUGAAUUUAAAAAAUAGUUUUAAUUAACAAAAUGAUUUUGUGUUGUCUUAUUUGUUAAACUUGUUAUUUUAGUUUUAAUACAGUACUGUGAUUCUGGAUACAUUGGGCAAACAAUAAUUUCACUUGGCUUUAACUAGAUAAGAAGAGCAAAUAUAUUUUUCAUCAUUAUUGUUUCUGUGCUAUAAAGGCAUGCAUUAAAUAAGAUAGAAGCUUCUAUGUGUGCAAAUGUGAUAGCAGCCAUUACAUAUAAUCUUGCCAUAAGCAUUAAUGUUUCCUUUUCUUUAGAGGUCUGUUUCUCACCUUGGAAGCUGUCACGGUUUAUGUCAGUGGCCCCCAGGCCUCAUGCAUUUGCAUUGUGCAUUUUUGAUUGGUUCAUUGUCUAGCACUUGGAUUAGGGUGUGAGUGCCUAGGGGUGGAGCCAGCAUGUAAUAUAAUGGCAGGAAGAAGGUGCGUCUCUCGUUCUUUUGCUGGUUUUUGCCUUGCUGUUUGCAGCCACCAUGAGCUGCCAUGAGCUGCGGCUCUGCCACCCUGCCUUGGAGCCAACUGAGUAUGGACUGAAACCUCCAAAAACUGUAAGAAACACCACUGAGCCCACUAAGGCCAAAGUUUAGUAUCUGGUCUAACUUUUAGUUUCUGAAAAAGUGAAAGAUCUAGAAGAUGGUUUUAGAUUACAUACAUUUUACAGUUUUGUCAUGACAUGAAAGAAAUAUUUUCUAAUGGAAAAGAAUAAAUCAAAAAUAUGAAUGAAACUUUUAUCAUUGUUUAAAGAUCUAUGGAACUACAGUGGUGGUAAAAUGAGUCUGUAUACAAGGUAAACUACGCAAAUCUGCAUAUAAAGGAGAAAAUUUUCAUCUGAAAAGUGUGUGAUUCGUGUUAUUUUCUACUCAUCACAUUUCUCUUCCUAGGAACCCUA